rnacentral:rRNA from 1 species
AUGGAGAAGAAAUACACACGAGCGAGCAGAAUUGUAAAAGAAAAACACAGGCACACACGAGCACGAGGGCUCGCCUUCGACGCGUACGGGUACGCCGCUGCCGCCUCCGCACGCGGCCUCUCCGGCCAUCCGCCGCCACUGCCGCGCGCCGCCUCUCUGCCAUCCGCCUAUUCUCUUUCCCCUCCCCAUCCCGAGGAGAGAGUGGUGAGGCGGCUUAGACGUUCAUCGCGGGUCCAGAUUCAUGAUGACGGCACCGCAUCUAGCGAUGACGCGAGCUCAUGUGGGCGCUGCAACUUCCGAGAACACGGGAGUCUCCAUGGCCAGCGAUACGUGAGCACACUCACACACCACAACUCUCAAGGAUGUGGGAGCCGCCUCGGCCGGCGAGGACUCCUGAACCAUGCUCAGAAGUUCAGCAAGCACAAAGCACUUAAUUCACAGUCCGCAAAGCUCCUAGACUGGGAGUUGUAUGCAUCAUCCAUCUGCGCAGCAUGCUCUAAUAAUUUUUCUUCUUUCCGGACACCUGAUAGCCUGAGCAUGCAAGAGCAGCAGUACAAGCAGGCUGCACUGCACAACAUUAGCAGAGCGCUCUCACUACAGCGGAACUACUCGGGCGUCUCUGAUGAUAGCAUGCUUGAUAUUGAAGUUGAAGAUUGUAGCACGGUUGAUGGGCUGAAGGGGCAUGAAAACAUUAACUUUUAUUAA